CUCCUCCCUGCCUCAUUAGCACCUUGCCUUCUUCAGCUGCAAAAUCCUCAAACUCAAGAGGGCUAUUUAUAGCUUUUACAAAGCUCCCUUGGCCUGUCCUGUGCCUCAGCUAACCAUUUGUCUGCCUCUUCCAUGGUGUUAAAUCAGCCCCUCGUGACAGCACCCUCAAGACGCACAGAAGCAACGACUCUGAGAUGUCAUGGCAGGUGUGAAGGAGAUGGAUGGCAGCUGGAAUGGGGGACCAAUGGGAGCAUUUAAACACACCAGCUUCUGAGAGACCGAGUCAGAAAUCAGGAGAAUGAGAAUGAUCAAAGGGGAACAGGAAGGCAUAGGAGGGGGGAGGAGCAGGGACUCCCAUGAAGAAGAACUGGAUGUAUCCCAAGACAGGAGGAUAAUGUCAUAAUGCCUACAAAGCAGAUGCUGGGUAUCUAUGGAUGACUUUUCUUUUCAUAAGCAAGGCAGCACAGCCUGACUAGCCAGGGUGUUACUCUCAAGCACCAGGCCAACCUACCUCCAUGCACAUGGGAUACUGGGAAUAAGAAACAGUGUUUCAGGUUGGAAUGAAAAAUGCUGUGUUUCUAAUGACAGUAGGGGUAACCACAAUGACAAGUGCUUUUUUAUGACAUUAAAAAGUAGGAACCUUUAAAUGUUGAUAGCAGAGGUGUGCAGUGCAAGUUAAUUUUCAGCACAUCGGAAAUGUGUCUGUACAUCCUCCUGCUUACAGUAAUAACUAUGCACACACGUGGAAAUCAAAUGCUCUAGGUAAUAACACCCAGGUUGGCUGCAGCCAGCUGAGUGACCUUACAUAUCUAUCACUUAUCUAUGUAUGCAGAUGCUCCCCCAUCACAAAGGAGGAUUAAUGAUGUUACUUCAGAGAGCUAAUGAGAGAAUGAACCACUUAAUGUUCGAUUCACAAGAGCUGUAAAGCAUUAUAUAGACAGUGUUUGUUUUUAAUUCCUCCCUCUAUCAUUCUGGCUAAUAGGUAGUAUUUUUCAUAUUCAUGCCAUUAUUAAAAUCAUAUUCUAUUUCCUAGAUAAUCCAAAGCAUCUUUCUGAUACUCUUUUUCUUCCUUCUUUUCCACUGAGCAUUUUUCCUUCAGGCUACCUGGGUUGCAGAAUCUCAGUUCAACAAUAUGCAUUGGUUAGAAGAUACAGUUUCAGGAUCUCAUUAUUGAGAUCCAGUUUACUCUUCUGGAUGGAAAGUGUUUAAAGGAUCUGACUCGGAAUUUUUUCUCCCAAUUCUAUAAAGCUGAAAGAGGUUGUUCUCAAACAGUGUAUGUCCACAUCUGGAUAGAGCAUACAGGCUUUUCCAUCUGGUUCUUGUACCAGCUAACAAACAUGAAAAGACAUCAUCUGCAAAUGAUAUGAAGCAUCAUGUGUCAUUUCUUUCUUAUUUAAUACCAGGGGACUUGGGAUUUUGCAAAUAUUUUUAGAGGGUCUUAGAACCACCUGUAUAAAAAUUGGUUCAUAUUCAAAAAUGACAGAUCACCUGUGCUUGUUAAAAUAAAAGGUAGCAGCAAUUGCACGCUUGUGAUACAAAUAAGAAUCCUGAUCUAUGUUCUUCUGCUUCUUUUUUGUUUUCAUUUUUUCCAGUAAAAUUUCUCAAUGUCAAACCCAUACAUUCAUUGAACAAAUCAGGCUAUGUCCUGUCCUAUUACAAGCAUAAGUGUUCCAGGAACAUAGUUUAAGGAUGAGGCAGGUCCCAUUUAGAACUCCCGGAUGGCUCUUGUAUUUCCUUUAAGACAAAAAACAAUAAAUCACUCUUUUAUUUCCUUCUGUUACAGGCUAUUAGCCUUGCCAGUGCGAGAUGCUUUCUUAAAGCAACGGAGACAGCAGUUCAUUUGGAGCCUGCAUUAAAAAUAUGUUUCCACACUACUCUCUUUCCAGUCCACCCAGUUAGAGAGUUUCUUUUUACAUCUGACUUUCCAUCUGGAUUCAGAGCAUUCUGAAAAAUCAGUCCUCCCUCUUCCAGGGGUUAAA